UGAGGAAUCUUCGGCAAUGGGGGCAACCCUGACCGAGCGACGCCGCGUGCGGGAUGACGGCCUUCGGGUCGUAAACCGCUUUUGGGUGGGACGAGACACAGGACGGUACCACCCCAAGAAGUCUCGGCUAACUACGUGCCAGCAGCCGCGGUAAUACGUAGGAGGCGAGCGUUGUCCGGAGUUACUGGGCGUAAAGGGUGCGCAGGCGGUUGGACGCGUCCGUGCUGAAAUCUGUCCGCUUACCGGGCAGGGGAGUAGGGAAACGGUCUGACUUGAGGCUCGGGAGGGGCGUGGAAUUCCGGGUGGAGCGGUGAAAUGCGUAGAGAUCCGGAGGAACACCGACGGCGUAAGCAGCGCCCUAGACGA
rnacentral:rRNA from 1 species